rnacentral:rRNA from 1 species
AUCCUGGCUCAGGAUGAACGCUAGCUACAGGCUUAACACAUGCAAGUCGAGGGGCAGCAUGAACUUAGCUUGCUAAGUUUGAUGGCGACCGGCGCACGGGUGAGUAACACGUAUCCAACCUUCCGUUUACUCAGGGAUAGCCUUUCGAAAGAAAGAUUAAUACCUGAUAGUAUGGUGAGAUUGCAUGAUAGCACCAUUAAAGAUUUAUUGGUAAACGAUGGGGAUGCGUUCCAUUAGGUAGUAGGCGGGGUAACGGCCCACCUAGCCAACGAUGGAUAGGGGUUCUGAGAGGAAGGUCCCCCACAUUGGAACUGAGACACGGUCCAAACUCCUACGGGAGGCAGCAGUGAGGAAUAUUGGUCAAUGGACGAGAGUCUGAACCAGCCAAGUAGCGUGAAGGAUGAAGGUCCUACGGAUUGUAAACUCCUUUUAUAAGGGAAUAAACCCUCCCACGUGUGGGAGCUUGUAUGUACCUUAUGAAUAAGCAUCGGCUAACUCCGUGCCAGCAGCCGCGGUAAUACGGAGGAUGCGAGCGUUAUCCGGAUUUAUUGGGUUUAAAGGGAGCGCAGACGGGUCGUUAAGUCAGCUGUGAAAGUUUGGGGCUCAACCUUAAAAUUGCAGUUGAUACUGGCGUCCUUGAGUGCGGUUGAGGUGUGCGGAAUUCGUGGUGUAGCGGUGAAAUGCUUAGAUAUCACGAAGAACUCCGAUUGCGAAGGCAGCACACUAAUCCGUAACUGACGUUCAUGCUCGAAAGUGUGGGUAUCAAACAGGAUUAGAUACCCUGGUAGUCCACACGGUAAACGAUGGAUACUCGCUGUUGGCGAUAUACUGUCAGCGGCUUAGCGAAAGCGUUAAGUAUUCCACCUGGGGAGUACGCCGGCAACGGUGAAACUC